rnacentral:SRP_RNA from 1 species
GGAUGAGCUAGACUGGGAGGUUAGCCCCCUCUUGUAACUGCAAACCGGGCUAUAUGGUAGGGUCGAAGCUUAUGACUAGGUUUAGUUAAUGAUUGAUAAGUCCGUUUUCAAUCUAAGAAGCCUUGUCCUUUUCGACUCUUCUUUUGAAGAAUCUGGUCAGGCCUUGACGGGAGCAGCCAUAAUUCAAGAAAAGGGUGCUUAAAGGGUUGCGGGGUGGAGAAAGACUUCGGGUCGCUUAAAAGCAUUAAUUAUGUCAAAUCAUUUGCGUGCUCAUCC